UACGUAGGGUGCAAGCGUUGUCCGGAAUUAUUGGGCGUAAAGAGCUCGUAGGCGGUCUGUCACGUCGGCUGUGAAAUCCCGAGGCUCAACCUCGGGUCUGCAGUCGAUACGGGCAAACUAGAGUAUUGCAGGGGAGACUGGAAUUCCUGGUGUAGCGGUGAAAUGCGCAGAUAUCAGGAGGAACACCCGUGGCGAAGGCGGCCCACUGGGCCGGUACUGACGCUGAGGCACGAAGGCGUGGGGAGCGAACGGG
rnacentral:rRNA from 1 species